AGCGAACGCUGGCGGCAGGCUUAACACAUGCAAGUCGAACGGAUCCUUCGGGAUUAGUGGCGGACGGGUGAGUAACACGUGGGAAUGUGCCUUUAGGUUCGGAACAACACAGGGAAACUUGUGCUAAUACCGGAUGUGCCCUUCGGGGGAAAGAUUUAUCGCCUUUAGAGCAGCCCGCGUCUGAUUAGCUUGUUGGUGAGGUAAAGGCUCACCAAGGCGACGAUCAGUAGCUGGUCUGAGAGGAUGGCCAGCCACAUUGGGACUGAGACACGGCCCAAACUCCUACGGGAGGCAGCAGUGGGGAAUCUUGCGCAAUGGGCGAAAGCCUGACGCAGCCAUGCCGCGUGAAUGAUGAAGGUCUUAGGAUUGUAAAAUUCUUUCACCG
rnacentral:rRNA from 1 species